CUUGAACGCUGGCGGCCGGCCUAACACAUGCAAGUCGAACGAGUGGCGGACGGGUGAGUAAUGUCUGGGAAACUGCCUGAUGGAGGGGGAUAACUACUGGAAACGGUAGCUAAUACCGCAUACCAUCGGAUGUGCCCAUAUGGGAUUAGCUAGUAGGUGGGGUAAAGGAUCACCUAGGCGACGAACCCUAGCUGGUCUGAGAGGAUGACCAGCCACACGGGACCUGAGACACGUGCCAUACUCCUACGGGAGGCAGCAGUGGGGAAGAUUGCACAAUGGGCGCAAGCCUGAUGCAGCCAUGCCGCGUGUAUGAAGAAGUCCUUCGGGUUGUAAAGUACUUUCAGCGGGGAGGCGUUACCCGCAGAAGAAGCACCGGCUAACUCCGUGCCAGCAGCCGCGGUAAUAC
rnacentral:rRNA from 1 species